GACGAACGCUGGCGGCGUGCUUAACACAUGCAAGUCGAACGGAAAGGCCCUGCUUUUGUGGGGUGCUCGAGUGGCGAACGUGUGAGUAACACGUGAGUAACCUGCCCUUGACUUUGGGAUAACUUCAGGAAACUUGGGCUAAUACCGGAUAUGAUCUCCUGCUGCAUGGUGGGGUUUGGAAAGUUUCGGCGGUUGGGGAUGGACUCGCGGCUUAUCAGCUUGUUGGUGGGGUAGUGGCUUACCAAGGCUUUGACGGGUAGCCGGCCUGAGAGGGUGACCGGCAACAUUGGGACUGAGAUACGGCCCAGACUACAACGGGAGGCAGCAGUGGGGAAUAUUGCACAAUGGGAGGAAGCCUGAGGCAGAAACGCCGCGUGCGGGAUGACGGCCUUCGGGUUGUAAAAAGAUGUAGAAUGUGACGAAGCGUGAGUGACGGUAAUGGGUAAAGAAGCACCGGCUAACUACGUG
rnacentral:rRNA from 1 species